AAAUCAAUCACUACAAUGAUUUGUUGAUUUAGUUAUUUAUUGCACCAAAAUACGACUACAAAAAAAAUAUAAUUAAGUCAAAUAAGAAAAGAAAAAGUAUUAUUUUGAAAUAAUUGUUGUUUUUUUUACAUUACAAGAAAAUAAAUAAUGGAAAUGUAUGUAUAGCAUAUUUUUAUUAUUGCAGAACAUUUAUAGUAAUGAUUUCCUCAAAAGAAGCAAAACAAAAAAAAUUUCAUUAUUAAAAAGCAAAUUUUGUUACAAUUUUGUCAGCAUUUAUCAAUGCUUUACUUGAUAUGCACAGAAGCACAUUGACAGUGUAUUACAUCAGGGGUGGGCAACCUUUUGCUAUCGAGGGCUGCAUUAAAUUUUGUUAAUGGGGGGCGGGGGGAAUAUAUAUAUAUAUAUAUAUAUAUA